rnacentral:rRNA from 1 species
UACGUAGGGUCCGAGCGUUGUCCGGAAUUAUUGGGCGUAAAGAGCUCGUAGGCGGCUUGUCGCGUCGUCCGUGAAAACCUGCGGCUCAACUGCAGGCUGGCGGUCGAUACGGGCAGGCUGGAGUUCGGUAGGGGGAGACUGGAAUUCCUGGUGUAGCGGUGAAAUGCGUAGAUAUCGAGAGGAACACCUGCGGCGAAGGCGGGUUGCUGGGCUGACACUGACGCUGAUGCGCGAAAGCUAGGGGAGCGAACGGG